GCCCCUACUGUCCAAAGGAUAGCUCAGUCAGUAGAGCAUGAGACUCUUAAUCUCAGGGUUGUGGGUUCAAUCCCCAUGAUGGGCA
rnacentral:tRNA from 1 species